GGGCUUACUUCGCAGCGACUACUUGCCGCACUUCCGGGCUGUUGCAGCUGCUGUGACUCCAGGAUGAUGGAGACAGAGCGACUUGUGCUACCUCCUCCAGAUCCCCUGGACCUACCCCUUCGGGCCGUGGAGCUCGGAUGCACGGGGCACUGGGAGCUGCUGAACUUGCCUGGAGCUCCAGAGAGUAGCCUUCCCCAUGGCCUCCCUCCUUGUGCCCCAGAUCUGCAGCAAGAAGCAGAACAGUUGUUUCUGUCAUCCCCAGCCUGGCUGCCUCUGCAUGGUGUGGAGCACUCAGCCCGAAAAUGGCAGAGGAAGACGGAUCCCUGGUCUCUUUUGGCUGUCCUGGGAGCCCCAGUCCCAUCCGACCUACAGGCCCAAAGACACCCAACCACAGGCCAGAUACUGGGUUACAAAGAGGUCUUGCUGGAGAACACAAAUCUCUCGGCCACAACCUCCUUGUCUCUUCGCCGGCCUCCAGGGCCAGCCUCCCAGUCCUUAUGGGGAAAUCCAACUCAGUAUCCCUUCUGGCCAGGGGGGAUGGAUGAACCCACCAUAACAGAUCUGAACACACGGGAGGAGGCUGAGGAGGAGAUAGACUUUGAGAAAGAUCUUCUUACUAUUCCACCUGGUUUCAAGAAAGGCAUGGACUUUGCACCAAAAGAUUGUCCAACUCCAGCUCCUGGACUGCUAAGCCUUAGCUGUCUGUUGGAACCUCUGGAUUUGGGUGGAGGUGACGAGGAUGAGAAUGAGGCAGUGGGACAGCCAGGAGGUCCCAGAGGGGACGCUGUUUCAGCCUCUCCCUGCAGUGCUCCCCUGGCCCGAGCAAGCAGCUUGGAGGACCUAGUGUUGAAGGAAGCGUCCACAGCUGUAUCCACCCCAGAGGCCCCAGAGCCUCCAUCUCAGGAGCAGUGGGCCAUCCCUGUGGACGCCACCUCCCCUGUUGGUGAUUUCUAUCGCCUCAUUCCCCAGCCAGCCUUCCAGUGGGCAUUUGAGCCAGAUGUGUUUCAGAAACAGGCCAUCCUGCACUUGGAGCGGCAUGACUCUGUCUUUGUCGCAGCUCACACAUCUGCAGGAAAAACAGUUGUGGCUGAAUAUGCCAUUGCCCUGGCCCAGAAACACAUGACACGCACCAUCUACACUUCGCCCAUCAAGGCCCUGAGCAACCAGAAGUUCCGGGACUUCCGAAACACAUUCGGGGAUGUGGGGCUGCUCACCGGGGAUGUACAGCUGCACCCGGAGGCCUCCUGCCUCAUCAUGACCACAGAGAUCCUUCGCUCCAUGCUGUACAGUGGCUCAGAUGUUAUUCGGGACCUGGAGUGGGUCAUCUUUGAUGAGGUUCACUAUAUCAACGAUGCCGAGCGUGGGGUCGUGUGGGAGGAGGUGCUUAUCAUGCUACCUGACCACGUUUCUAUCAUCCUUCUGAGUGCCACUGUCCCCAACGCCCUUGAGUUUGCUGACUGGAUUGGGCGACUGAAGCGUCGUCAGAUCUAUGUGAUUAGCACUGUAACCCGCCCCGUGCCCCUGGAGCACUAUCUUUUCACAGGGAACAGCUCCAAGACCCAGGGGGAGCUCUUUUUGUUGCUGGACUCCCGAGGAGCCUUCCAUACAAAAGGGUACUAUGCAGCUGUGGAGGCCAAGAAGGAGAGAAUGAGCAAACACGCCCAGACCUUUGGGGCCAAGCAGCCCACACAUCAGGGGGGCCCUGCACAGGACCGCGGAGUGUACCUGUCCCUCCUGGCCUCCCUCCGCACACGUGCCCAGUUGCCCGUGGUGGUGUUCACCUUCUCCCGGGGCCGCUGUGAUGAGCAGGCCUCAGGCCUCACCUCCCUUGACCUCACCACCAGUUCGGAGAAGAGCGAGAUCCACCUCUUCCUGCAGCGCUGCCUUGCUCGCCUCCGUGGCUCUGACCGCCAGCUGCCCCAGGUCCUGCACAUGUCAGAGCUCCUGAAUCGCGGCCUGGGUGUGCACCAUAGCGGCAUCCUGCCCAUCCUCAAGGAGAUCGUGGAGAUGCUCUUCAGCCGUGGCCUGGUCAAGGUCUUGUUUGCCACAGAGACCUUUGCCAUGGGAGUAAACAUGCCUGCUCGUACAGUAGUGUUUGACUCCAUGCGCAAACACGAUGGCUCCACCUUCCGGGACCUGCUCCCUGGGGAGUAUGUGCAGAUGGCAGGCCGGGCAGGGCGGAGGGGCCUGGACCCCACAGGCACCGUUAUCCUGCUCUGCAAGGGCCGAGUGCCCGAGAUGGCAGACCUGCACCGCAUGAUGAUGGGGAAGCCGUCCCAGCUGCAGUCCCAGUUCCGCCUCACGUACACUAUGAUCCUCAACUUGCUGCGAGUGGAUGCCCUCAGGGUGGAGGACAUGAUGAAGAGGAGCUUCUCUGAGUUUCCCUCCCGCAAAGACAGCAAGGCCCAUGAACAGGCCCUGGCUGAACUGACCAAGAAGCUGGGAGCUUUGGAGGAGCCUGACAUGACUGGCCAACUGGUCGACCUGCCUGAAUAUUACAGCUGGGGGGAGGAACUGACAGAGACCCAGCACAUGAUCCAGCGACGCAUCAUGGAGUCUGUGAACGGGCUGAAGUCUCUCUCAGCAGGAAGGGUGGUGGUUGUGAAGAAUCAGGAGCAUCACAACGCAUUGGGAGUGAUCCUACAGGUCUCCUCGAACUCCACCAGCAGAGUAUUCACAACCCUGGUCUUGUGUGAUAAGCCCUUGUCCCAGGACCCACAGGACAGGGGGCCAGCCACUGCAGAGGUGGCUUAUCCAGAUGACCUCGUGGGAUUCAAGCUGUUCCUGCCUGAAGGGCCUUGUGACCACACCGUGGUCAAGCUCCAGCCAGGAGAUAUGGCUGCCAUCACCACCAAGGUGCUCCGGGUGAAUGGGGAGAAGAUCUUGGAGGACUUCAGCAAGAGGCAGCAGCCAAAAUUCAAGAAGGAUCCUCCCCUUGCAGCUGUGACCACUGCUGUCCAGGAACUGCUGCGUCUGGCUCAGGCCCACCCAGCCGGACCCCCCACCCUCGACCCUGUCAAUGACCUGCAGCUCAAAGAUAUGUCAGUUGUAGAGGGUGGGCUCCGGGCCCGGAAGCUGGAGGAGCUGAUCCAGGGGGCUCAGUGUGUACACAGCCCCCGUUUUCCUGCCCAGCCCUUGUCUUCAGUGCACCCCUGCUAAGGGGCAAGGAGAAGGCUGACGGGUGGCUCUCUGCAGUACCUGAAGCUGCGGGAGCGAAUGCAGAUACAGAAGGAGAUGGAGCGGCUGCGCUUCCUACUGUCGGAUCAGUCACUGCUGCUGCUUCCUGAGUACCAUCAGCGAGUAGAGGUGCUCCGAACCCUGGGUUACGUGGACGAGGCGGGCACUGUGAAGCUGGCAGGGCGGGUGGCUUGUGCCAUGAGCAGCCAUGAGUUGCUCCUCACUGAGCUCAUGUUUGACAAUGCACUGAGCACCCUGCGGCCUGAGGAGAUUGCUGCCUUGCUCUCUGGCCUGGUCUGCCAGAGCCCUGGGGACGCUGGGGAUCAGCUCCCAAACACCCUCAAGCAGGGAAUAGAACGUGUCCGGGCUGUGGCCAAGCGGAUUGGUGAGGUCCAGGUGGCUUGUGGCCUGAACCAGACGGUGGAGGAAUUUGUGGGGGAGCUGAAUUUUGGGCUGGUUGAGGUUGUGUAUGAGUGGGCCCGGGGCAUGCCCUUCUCCGAGUUGGCAGGGCUCUCAGGGACCCCUGAGGGCCUGGUGGUCCGCUGCAUUCAGCGCCUGGCUGAGAUGUGUCGCUCACUGCGGGGGGCAGCCCGCCUGGUAGGAGAGCCUGUGCUGGGUGCCAAGAUGGAGACAGCGGCUACCUUGCUACGGCGGGACAUCGUAUUUGCGGCCAGCCUUUACACCCAGUGAAUGCCCCAUGUAAAAAUGUGAUGAUAAAACAGCAAACCAC